CCUACGGGAGGCAGCAGUGGGGAAUUUUGGACAAUGGGCGCAAGCCUGAUCCAGCAAUGCCGCGUGAGUGAAGAAGGCCUUCGGGUUGUAAAGCUCUUUUGUCAGGGAAGAAACGGUGAAGGCUAAUAUCCUUUGCUAAUGACGGUACCUGAAGAAUAAGCACCGGCUAACUACGUGCCAGCAGCCGCGGUAAUACGUAGGGUGCAAGCGUUAAUCGGAAUUACUGGGCGUAAAGCGUGCGCAGGCGGUUUUGUAAGUUUGUCGUGAAAUCCCCGGGCUCAACCUGGGAAUGGCGAUGAAGACUGCAAGGCUAGAAUCUGGCAGAGGGGGGUAGAAUUCCACGUGUAGCAGUGAAAUGCGUAGAGAUGUGGAGGAACACCGAUGGCGAAGGCAGCCCCCUGGGUCAAGAUUGACGCUCAUGCACGAAAGCGUGGGGAGCAAACAGGAUUAGAUACCCUGGUAGUCCACGCCCUAAACGAUGUCUACUAGUUGUCGGGUUUUAAUAACUUGGUAACGCAGCUAACGCGUGAAGUAGACCGCCUGGGGAUACGGUCGCAAGNUUAAAACUCAAAGNUAGUCGGNGNGNGAGAGCGACGACGACGACGACGAGGAGGAG
rnacentral:rRNA from 1 species